UACGGGGGGGGCAAGCGUUGUUCGGAAUUACUGGGCGUAAAGGGCUCGUAGGCGGCCAACUAAGUCAGACGUGAAAUCCCUCGCUUAACCGGGGAACGGGCGCCGAUACGACCGUCCUGGAGGGACGUAGGGGGACCUGGAACUUCCGGUGGAGCGGUGAAAUGCGUUGAGAUCGGAAGGAACGCCCGUGGCGAAAGCGAGGUCCUGGACGUUUUCUGACGCUGAGACGCGAAAGCCAGGGGAGCGAACGGG
rnacentral:rRNA from 1 species